AAUGUAGGUGGUGACGUAAGUCAGAUGUGAAAGCCCUGGGCUUAACCUGGGAAGUGCAUUUGAUACUGCGUUGCUAGAGUAUGAGAGAGGAAAGCGGAAUUUCCAGUGUAGGAGUGAAAUCCGUAGAUAUUGGAAGGAAUACCGAUGGCGAAGGCAGCUUUCUGGCUCGUAACUGACACUGAGAUUCGAAAGCGUGGGUAGCAAACA
rnacentral:rRNA from 1 species